GGGGGAAAAGAUGUGGAUGGAGCUAGGGAAAGCAACUAGAGGGAAUAUUUUAAGGGAGAAAAGUGUUUUUAUUUUGAUAUAUGUUUAAUAUAUAAAAUUUCAGGAGCUAAAGAGAGGUUAUUGAGGGCCAGAGAAUAAGGGAUGACACGAAAGAAGGUUUUAGAGAAUGUUGGAAUGGGUGCUGAGGGUUGAAGAGGAC
rnacentral:lncRNA from 1 species